GUUCUUUCUCACACUUUAUGGACUGGUGGAAUCUCACUUUUUGGAUAAGAAAUUUUUUUAUGUUGUUGCUAUUCAUUUGUAGUUGUGAUCUGUUUUGGUUAUUUACUUACUGUAACACAAGUAUUAGCACACAUGUUGCAAUGCAUGAAUGCCCUUUCUGAUAUUUGGAAUAGAAGCUGGGUGCAGUUGUAUUGAGCUUUUGUUUCCUUGUGAUGUUUUAAUGGAUUUGGCUGUCACCUCUGUUUGGUUACUCUGCUUCUUGAGCCAUUUGGAUGUUUACAAGUUUUCCCCCUUCUCUGUAUCUUUCUUUUGGGGUUUCUCUUGCAUUCUUUUCCUGUACUUGGGUUGUGUUCUCUGUUAUUGCCCUACUUUUAUUAUUGAAGAAAUUUGC
rnacentral:misc_RNA from 1 species